rnacentral:rRNA from 1 species
AUAUUGGACAAUGGGGGCAACCCUGAUCCAGCCAUGCCGCGUGUGUGAAGAAGGUCUUCGGAUUUUAAAGCACUUUAAGCAGGGAGGAAGGGCUUUAGGCUAAUACCCUGAAGUUUUGCCGUUACUAACAGAAUAAGCAUCGGCUAACACUGUGCCAGCACCCGCGUCAAUACAGAGGGUGCAAGCGUUAAUCGGAAUUACUGGGCGUAAAGCGCGCGUAGGUGGUUCAGUAAGAUGGGUGUGAAAUCCCCGGGCUUAACCUGGGAACUGCUUUCAUAACUGCUGAGCUAGAGUACGGUAGAGGGUAGUGGAAUUUCCUGUGUAGCGGUGAAAUGCGUAGAUAUAGGAAGGAACACCAGUGGCGAAGGCGACUACCUGGACUGAUACUGACACUGAGGUGCGAAAGCGUGGGGAGCAAACA